rnacentral:lncRNA from 1 species
CAGGAUUCGUGUCUCCUAAUCACUCAGGGAUCCAGAUUGAGUGGAGUUGCUAUGAUGCUACUCUUUCAAGAUUCCCUCCAUGUACUAAGUUAGAGGAACAGAACAUAGAGAAUAAUGCAGCAGCUCUUGAGUCCGUUUGUAUGGAAGUGAUAGACACACAUUCAUCUGCUCAUAUCUUUGUAGCACGGCCAUCCUUUUCACUAGUAGGUAGGGAAAUGUGACCUUCCAUGUACAUGGAACAGCAAAAACACUCAAUACUGAUGACUCUGGGUGUUGUCCACUGCCACAGGAAGAACAGGAGAAGCAGAAAGAUGGAAUGAUGACCCCAGUGACAGAGAACACCCUGGAAAGAUACUUUCACCUUGCUUUGCACAUGGUUUCCCUGGAUGUCAUCAGAAGUCUGAGUAAAGGAGACAGAAGAGUCCAGUUUGGACAAGAAUGUCUCCGGUGCUAUUUAACUUUCUGGACAAUGAAUGUUCCUGGAGCCCAGCUGCAGGGAUGGAUAACACAUACGUUCAGCUCGAACUGCAAGCUGUUGAGGACAAAGAGCAUAGGAAAUUCAAUUCCAAGCUCUAGUUGUUCCUGAUCAGACUUGACGUGUGUGCCUGGACAAUAAGAUUUGUGACCUCAGCAGAAUAAAUGUAAACCUAAUCCCA